rnacentral:rRNA from 1 species
GGCGAGGGGAGUGAAAAAGAACCUGAAACCGUGUACGUACAAGCAGUGGGAGCACAGGUUUACCUGUGUGACUGCGUACCUUUUGUAUAAUGGGUCAGCGACUUAUAUUCUGUAGCAAGGUUAACCGAAUAGGGGAGCCGUAGGGAAACCGAGUCUUAACCGGGCGUUAAGUUGCAGGGUAUAGACCCGAAACCCGGUGAUCUAGCCAUGGGCAGGUUGAAGGCUGGGUAACACUAACUGGAGGACCGAACCGAC